ACCUCCCCAUCUCUAGAUUAGCUCCAAGUUGCCUAGGCCCCGAUCAAUCCUCUCCUUAACAAACUUCCUUUUACCUGCGUCCACAUCGCUUAUAGCAACCUCUGCAACUUCCUCAAUCAGUAGCUUCCGACGCGAUACAUUAACUUUUCUACUCCCAGCAGAUCUCCCACCUAACUGAUCGUACUUGGUUUCACUCAAGCUCCGAGGUACUACAGCUGCAGAGAACUGUCCAUGGUUUCCAAACACAUCAAGAUUACUGCUAGAUGCCGAAUCAAAUACAUGUUUGAAAAUCAUCCCCAAAGACCUCGCAGUACCCCUAUCAGGCACAUCUGACAGUGCCGCCAGUUUCUGCUCCUGCUUCUCAUUUAUCACCAGCUCCUGCUUCUCAUUUAACAUCCCCACCGAAUCCCCAGGAACCUCCUCCACCUUAUUCUGUUUCAGCCCAAAAGUACCAAUGUUAUCUAGACUCCCACAUAAGUCAACCACACCACCCCUACUUCCAGCAUCUUGGAGUUGAGAAUUACAAGACUGAACGUACUCUUCCAAACUGGGAGAUGUUACAAGUUAGAGUUCAUGCUCUCUGCAGCUCAUUAUAUUGGGACAGAGAAGCUAGGGGAUAAAUCAUCCUCCACUUGGACCAAGAAGGAUCAAAAGGAAUGGUAUAAAAUUAUGAAGGAAUUUAAGAUGGUACACUGGAAGGUGGUGUCACUGACAAACUCACUUACUCCCCACAAGAAUACAUUUAAUGGUCAGUGAAGUCUGAUUAUGUUGCUGCAGGUCUAUAUUAUGGGGUCAACAUAUCCUGUGUUGAUGAGGUUGUGCCUGUCUUCACAAGUCGUAAACCUGCAUUUCAAUUCUAGUUUAAGUAACGGUUGUAUUCUCAUUUCGGAUUAUCAAUGAAGAAUAUGAAUCUUUAACUUCAUUUCCUCUCAGUUUGUGCAAUUUAUCUCUUCAAUUUCCUUCCAUGGAUUACGCUCCUAACAGGAACUUAAUAUAAGAGCUUAUAUAUGUCUUUUAAGAGCUAAAUGUUAUAGUAUGGUAGUAGUUUGUCACCAAAAUAGAGGUGGCACAAGGUUAAUGACAGAAUAAAGUU
rnacentral:lncRNA from 1 species